AGAUUGAACGCUGGCGGCAGGCCUAACACAUGCAAGUCGAGCGGUAACAUUUCUAGCUUGCUAGAAGAUGACGAGCGGCGGACGGGUGAGUAAUGCUUGGGAACAUGCCUUUAGGUGGGGGACAACAGUUGGAAACGACUGCUAAUACCGCAUAAUGUCUACGGACCAAAGUGGGGGACCUUCGGGCCUCACGCCUAAAGAUUGGCCCAAGUGGGAUUAGCUAGUUGGUGAGGUAAUGGCUCACCAAGGCGACGAUCCCUAGCUGGUUUGAGAGGAUGAUCAGCCACACUGGGACUGAGACACGGCCCAGACUCCUACGGGAGGCAGCAGUGGGGAAUAUUGCACAAUGGGCGCAAGCCUGAUGCAGCCAUGCCGCGUGUGUGAAGAAGGCCUUCGGGUUGUAAAGCACUUUCAGUAAGGAGGAAAGGUUGGAUGUUAAUAGCAUUCAGCUGUGACGUUACUACAG
rnacentral:rRNA from 2 species